CACCACCAGGAGUGGAGCCUGCGGCUUAAUUUGACUCAACACGGGAAAUCUCACCAGGCCCGGACACCGGAAGGAUUGACAGAUUAACAGCUCUUUCUUGAUUCGGUGGGUGGUGGUGCAUGGCCGUUCUUAGUUGGUGGAGCGAUUUGUCUGGUUAAUUCCGGUAACGAACGAGACUCUAGCCUGCUAAAUAGGCGUCGUCAUUUAGGUGUGCGUGGCUCCGUCACGCAACUCACUGGCGACGUAUUAAAAUUCUUCUUAGAGGGACCGGCGGCUUCGAGCCGCACGAGAUUGAGCAAUAACAGGUCUGUGAUGCCCUUAGAUGUCCUGGGCCGCACGCGCGCUACACUGAAGGAAUCAGCAUGUUCUCCCUGGCCUAGAGGCCCGGGCAACCCGCUGAAACUCCUUCGUGCUGGGGAUUGGGGUUUGCAAUUAUCCCCCAUAAACGAGGAAUUCCUAGUAAGCGCGAGUCAUAAGCUCGCGUUGAUUACGUCCCUGCCCUUUGUACACACCGCCCGUCGCUACUACCGAUUGAAUGAUUUAGUGAGGUCUUCGGACCGACACGCGGUGGCUUCGCGGCCGUCGGCGUUGCUGGGAAGUUGACCAAACUUGAUCAUUUAGAGGAAGUAAAAGUCGUAACAAGGUUUCCGUAG
rnacentral:rRNA from 1 species